CCAGAAGCGGCUUUCUCCAGAGACGCUGAGAGCGCGGUUUUGGAAGAAGCAUAAGUUGGGUUUGUCUGAGUUUGCGUCAGCCUGGUUUCCUGCUCUAUCUAGUUUGGAGAGGAUUCACUCCGCACGGCUUUUUUCCCCUUCUGCAACCUGAGUGGCGUGGCCGCGUAGUGAUUUCCGUGAGCGUUGCUAAAGUGGGACCUAGGUCGUGUUCAGGGCAGAUUGUAUCUGCUUUUGGUAAACAAGAAGCAGAAAGGAAGUUUGAAACUCUGUUGCAAAACUUGUCCCAUCCUCCAUCAUUCACAACUGUCAGAGAAAAUACGCAUUUAGCCUCAGUACAACAUGUGAAAAAUCUGUUAUGUGAUGAACUUCAGAAGGAGAAGCUUCUUGGAGCUGGGAUUCAAGACUCUAAAGAAGAGGCUGUUACCAAACUGCUACUCGGGAUUCGGAGCAGGCGAACCUCCAUUCUUACCCGAAUCUUUUGACGGAAUUCUUCUUGAUGCCCCCUGCAGUGGAAUGGGACAGAGACCAUACAUGGCUUGUACUUGGACUUUGAAGGAAAUGAUACCAUAUCAACCAUUACAGAGAAAACUCUUUACUGUGGAGCCUCAAAUCUGAGGAGCAGGGAUGAUGGGAGUCGGCCUGACAUCUGAACAGUUGAAACAGCUGCAGCAAUUCGAUCCGUUGGUGGUGCCAUCACGGGACACCAACUUUGUCUCAGAGACAGCAGAACAGAAGACAUGAUCCGGCUGGCCAAAGAGGACUGUAUUAAAAGUGAGAAUACUGCACAAUUUGGGUACCUUAUCACCUGAUGGAUCACAUACAGGUUAUUAAGAGAUGUGAGUGGUGAGAAAGAGAAAAAAGCAUCCUCUGAGAGCUGGAAGGUGGCCGGGCACUUAGAGCUAAGCCUUGGCAUCAUAUCACCGAACAGAAGCAGGUCCACAGUACACCGACCUCAGACCAUGCAGCUGUGACUGGGCCAGAUCAAGACAAAAAAGACCUCUUCACAGUUUAAAAUCUGAAAUCAUCCAAACUGCAAAUGUGACCAAACACAUCUCUCCCCGUAGUGGCCAGUUUAAGAGGACUGCCUUUUUAAAAUUAAUUGUAACGGUGGGCUUGCUUCAUCCUACCUGCUUUUUUAGGUUUCCAUUAGGAAUUUCUCGAAUCUGUUGUAUCCAUCAGGAAUGCCAGGUCUCGUGGAUCAGUGUGACACUUGACGUAUGAAUAAGAUGAGAAUAUCCUGCACUGCAUCACUUCGCAAAGGGUGAGGAAUUAAAUUCAUCAUCAAGAGGGAUCUCCAUUUUAAGAAUGAACAAUAAAAUUUAAAAUCCGAGUCAAGAAUUGCUGAAUACGUAGAAUGAAGGUGGGGAGAAGUUGACUCGGCUGUGCUCAGGCCUCAGGAACCUUUUACCUGCCGGAAGCUGUCGUUUUAUCAGACGUGAUGGGAAGACCACUGCAGGCCCUCAGUGACUGGCAAGGCCCCACAGGAAGAUGGGCCAUGAGUGGGAGGUGCUGGAGCAAGAACAAGGAGCCAGCAGAUGCGCGCCCCCUCUGGCUGUGAGCCUCCUCCCGUCCCUGCCCGCCCCCCUUACCCCGCAGCAUCCCGCGGCUUGUGACCUGCAGGGCAGGUAAUGAGACCAGCACUGUUGUAAGAUAGUGACAUACAUUGUCAUCAAUACAGCCACCUGAUAAUCUUGAGAACAGACAUGAGAUGGGACAGGUCACGACAUGGCCUCAUGAGGUAGGUGGCCACUAGUAUUCCUGAGGCACAGAGCAGGCAAGGAAUUGGUCCAAGAUUACACAGCAGGGAGGAGGUGGUGAGGGAUAGGAACCUAGGCAGCCUGAGUCCACAGGCUCGGCUGCCCCCAUGUAGAAAGUUCUGCCAUCCCUGUCUUAGUAGGCUAUGGGGCUAGGGGCUCUUACAGGUUUCUAUACCUUCACCGGAUUCUGCUUUUCUUAUAGGUACUCAGUUGACACUGGAGAUACUUGAGGACUCAGCGUUUGUCACAUUCUGGAUAGAGCUGCCCAGUUGGAACAAGCACAGCACCCGGGUUCGGGGCACAGAUCCUAGCCAGGCGGCCGCAGGGAAGAGCUGCUUGCUUACCUCAGGGAGAACUCGAGGAGGAAGAAGACAACAUCGGCUGGUGAUUCCUGCUUAGACGUCACCCACCACUGCUUCUUCAUCAUCAGCGCAAAUGUCUGAACAGCGAAAAAGGGGGCGAAUGUCUCAGUGUUACUUACCAUGGAGAUGCUCUUCGCCUAAUGGACCCUCUGACAGCGCCUCAGAAGCUCCUCCACCACGAAUCCAUGGGCUGCUCUUUGGGAAUCACUGUUCUACACCAUGAAAUUAAUCAUCCUCCUCUGCUUCUAUGAAUCUUAACAAUUCUUGAUCACCAUCUCUCUCUCAAACCCUCUGUGGAAGGUAAAAGCCUGUUUAUAAUUGGAAAGCAGGAUAUAAACACACAUUAGUAAAGUUUCAUUACACAACAAACACUAACAACCUGGCUUACCUUAGGAGAAGACAUCUUGUAAUAGGGGCCACAGAGGUUUUACUGAGUUGAGCUGGAUGAUUAAUAAGUAUCUGCAUCAAGGUCCACCAGUUGCAGUCUUCUUGCAAGUUCAAAAAUCCUCUCGAUUUCACUCUGAACUUCUGCUGUAAAAGAUUAUUCAGACCAGAUUGAGAUAAAAGUAAAAGGCUACUCCUGGAGGUGAGCCAUUAGGUUGAUGUCUACAGGUAAGAGAGCUGAGAACAGGCAUCAAGGGAAAAAGCCAUUUCUUCACAACACCUCUAGAAUUUAGAGAAUUCCUAUCAGCUAUAAGAUUUAGUUCUAAUAUAACAUACAAUCUGAGAGUCAACUUUUUUGGCUCGCUCUCUGCUGACUUGUGUUUGGUGCUAUAAAACUUCUAUGAAGUCAUUCCAUGAAAAUGUUGUAAAAUAGAAACUUGAAGAGC